rnacentral:rRNA from 1 species
GAUGAACGCUGGCGGCGUGCUUAACACAUGCAAGUCGAACGAAGCACUCUAUUUGAUUUCUUCGGAAUGAUAUUUGUGACUGAGUGGCGGACGGGUGAGUAACGCGUGGGUAACCUGCCUCAUACAGGGGGAUAACAGUUGGAAACGACUGCUAAUACCGCAUAAGCGCACAGGACCGCAUGGUCUGGUGUGAAAAACUCCGGUGGUAUGAGAUGGACCCGCGUCUGAUUAGCUAGUUGGUGGGGUAACGGCCUACCAAGGCGACGAUCAGUAGCCGACCUGAGAGGGUGACCGGCCACAUUGGGACUGAGAUACGGCCCAGACUCCUACGGGAGGCAGCAGUGGGGAAUAUUGCGCAAUGGGGGCAACCCUGACGCAGCAACGCCGCGUGAAGGAUGAAGGUCUUCGGAUUGUAAACUUCUUUUAUUAAGGACGAAGAAGUGACGGUACUUAAUGAAUAAGCCACGGCUAACUACGUG